UACGGGGGGAGCAAGCGUUGUUCGGAUUUACUGGGCGUAAAGGGCGCGUAGGCGGCGCGACAAGUCACUUGUGAAAUCUCCGGGCUUAACUCGGAGCGGCCAAGUGAUACUGUCGUGCUAGAGUGCGGAAGGGGCAACUGGAAUUCUCGGUGUAGCGGUGAAAUGCGUAGAUAUCGAGAAGAACACCUGCGGCGAAGGCGGGUUGCUGGGCCGACACUGACGCUGAAGCGCGAAAGCCAGGGGAGCGAACGGG
rnacentral:rRNA from 1 species